AGGAGGAUCCUGAGGAGGAGGGGGAGCAGAAGGAGCCUGAGGAGGAGGAAGAGGAGGAGGAGGAGGAGGAACAUCAUCAGGAGCAGGAGAAGCAGGAGCAGGAACAGGAGGGGAGCAAGUAGCAGCAGCUCUGGAUGGAAGCCUGUAACACCUAUUCUGAGCCUUGAACAAUAGCACAAUCCUACAUAAUCACAGCGGUGAUUACGAGUGCCUCCUUCCCUGGAACUCCAUCUUCAGUCAUUUAACCCAGAUGCUGCACCACCAGGCAUGUUCCAUGGAGCCCAUGUCAUGAGGAGACAAAGCUGGGGCUCAAGGAGGGACUCACCCAGUGUGUCCGCCAGAGUCUGGGAGAUGGCGUAGUCAGGGGUAACAGAGGAACGUUUAGGGCGGUGCUUGGAGACAAGAAACAUGAACAGAUGCGGCAUGGGGCACAGGAAAGGAAGCCAGUGGAACUUGGUGACCAUCUCCUGCCUCAAGUCUCUGGAUCUGACAUGCCUUUCUGUGAAAACUAAGCCAUCAGUCCCCCAGCCUGAGAGCGAGGGGCCUCCACACCCAGCGAAGCUCCUACCUGCUUUCUGUGCAUCUUUUUGACCAGGGCCCACCUUUACCACGUGAUCCAGCUGGCUUGGAUCUUUCUGGAGAAGGUUCAGGAACGAGCCUCCUGCUGGGGGGAGGGUGGCUGGGGUCUGAGCAUGGGAGACAGCAGUACCAGCAGUGUGGAUGGGAGAAGACACUGCGGGGACCAGGAGCACAUCAUGUGAGGGGAGAACAAAGGCAGCCGUUGCAGGGGCUGCUUAAAGAUACCCUGGGGUUGCCAUGCCAGGCGGCAGCAGCACAGACAUGCUUCUGGUGCUGCGAGGGUGUUUGCAAUGAGACAGGGGUUCUGGGGUGAGUUGACCUGGGUGUGGGAGAAGGCAGGAGAAAGGACGAAGGGCUGGGGCUUCAACAGCAGGGCUCCCAGGAACUCCAAAUGACCUCUGGGGGAAAUGGUCACUUCCUUGCAUCUAUGCAGCUGCUGCACUGCACAGAAAUGGAUUUUCACCCCAGGGACAUCUGGGAGAGUGUGGACAACCUCAGCCAACCUGCUUCUCUCCUCCCCCUCCCCUCCUCGUCUCCCUGUGUCCCCAUCUUUUCUCUCCGAGAUCCCCCUGUGGUGCCUUCAUUGGUAGGGAAAACUGAGACUCAGAGAAGGAAAGGGACUUGCCUGCAGACACACAGCAGUGUACAGACAGAAGCAGGACCUCCAUCUGACGGCUCCUUCCGCCCCACAGCGCCGUUCUCCCUGCCCUGCCCUUCCAGCCCUGUGCGUGCUCAUCCCAGCAUCCGCUGCUCAAAAUGAGAAAAGUUCCCACAGGCUGGGUGCCAGUUCUGUGAGAUACAUGGUGCCAGGUCGCAAAAAGCCUUCUCCUAUUUAAUCCCCACUGUUCCCUUUGAGAGGACUUGUUCCUACUUUACAACGAGGGACAAAUCUCUUAGGAUGCAUUAGGUUGCAAGUAACAGAAUGCCUUACUGUUACCAAAAGUGGUAUUGAUGGUAGGAGUUUGUUUUUUUCCUGCAAAAUAAAAAUCUGGAUGUGGUUUC